rnacentral:tRNA from 1 species
GUGGCUGUAGCUUAAUUGGUUAAAGCGCGGCUAUACCCCGAAUGUCGGUUCGACUCCGAUGAAAGAAAGGUGUCAAGGGUCACACGCGGGAAGAAGGUGCCGAAGGUUGCGGGUUCGACUCCCUCCAGCCACA